rnacentral:rRNA from 1 species
UACGAAGGGGGCUAGCGUUGCUCGGAAUUACUGGGCGUAAAGCGCACGUAGGCGGAUCUUUAAGUCAGGGGUGAAAUCCUGGAGCUCAACUCCAGAACUGCCUUUGAUACUGAGGACCUUGAGUUCGGGAGAGGUGAGUGGAACUGCGAGUGUAGAGGUGAAAUUCGUAGAUAUUCGCAAGAACACCAGUGGCGAAGGCGGCUCACUGGCCCGAUACUGACGCUGAGGAGCGAAAGUGUGGGGAGCGAACAGG